ensembl:lncRNA
AGCACUGCGCAUGUGCGGGUGUACAGUUGAACUCAGGUGGCUUUUGGACCCAAAAUAAUUUUGUGGAAACACGUUUGCAUUAAAAUGAAACCAACAAAUGAACGCCAGCUACAGUAACGGCAGCGAAAAGGUUUGCGAACGGACAGACUUUAAACAGCAGAAGAGGCGGAGUAGCUAAAGACUGACUGUUUUGGUUUUAUUUUUUCGCGGAGCUAAUAUUAAUGCUAGCUAACAAUGCUAACAACAACAACACCGGCACGAAGCUGUGAAAUGACCCGUCAGCUCAUUGCACUGGAAUUAACUCUACUGCACGGAAGAAAGUCCAAGAAGAAACACCUGUUUCAAGUCUUAAAGUGCUUCUCCAGCGACUGGGGGUUGCUUGGUGCCGGAUGGAGAUGGUGGCUUGCCAUGAGUGGUCUGCGUAGGACUGGCGAGUGUGAUGGCCUGGACAUUGUUUACUCAGACUGAACAGCAAACUACCAAAGAACUACAGACUCUUCACAACCUGCUCAAACUCUUGGUACAGGACCUCACCACACAGGUCAAGAAGGUUUCCUUCUCAUUUCUACUCUGAAGCUCACCUUCUCCUGCUCAAAUUGCUGACAAAUGUUUCUGCUGCUCUAAAGUCUGGUCUCCAGAACUUCCUAAAAACUCUCAGAGUCUCUUCUGCUGCAGGUUGCUUUGUAGAACUGUUGCAGAAAACCUCACUAAACCACAUGGAGGGGCCUCAAGAUAGUCGUCCAAAUGAAACCAUACAAAAACCAAACUAGCACAACCCAAACGCUAAAGUCUCCUGCAGCCUACCAGAGAACCUCUGAGAACAGAGAAUCAGGACAGGAACUCUUACCUUCUGGACAACCAAUGCUGGUUCACAAACAAGAAUACAGAAUGUGUCUGACCAAAAACCUCUCAAGACUCACUACAGCCAAGAUAAAGACACAACUCAGCUGCACCAAAUCCACUAAUCACUGCACACAUUAGCACCAUGUGCUAACUGUGGCUAAAGAACAACAUUUACCAAGACAACUAUCCAGUACAAAGCCCUAAAACACACCAAGAAACACAUUAAAGAUGAUUUUACUGCUGGAAGCUGCAAGCCAACGCCUAAAGAACAAACUAAAGCAAAGGAGCCAAACCCGGUUCACUGGUGAAGAGAAACAGAGGAAAUGUUUGUCUGCAGCCACAUAAAGCAGGAAGACACUGAGCUGCUCAG